GAGAAGAGAAGAGUGAGCUGGGGAUAUAGCUCAGUGGGAAGCCUCGGGUUCAAUCCUUAGUACUGAAAGAAAAGUCAUGAUUGAUGUUUAUAUAUCUUCAAGAUUUUAUGCUUACAAAUAAUUAGCAAACUACUGUCCACCUCUCCUCAAUAUCAAUAUUACUCCUUUCUAAGUUAUGCAUGCUCUUGUUGGAACUAUGCAAUAUGUACUUUAAACUUUUGCAGCCACUUGCACAUUCUUAUAACAACUUCAUGGCGAAUGUUCAUAAAUAUUAUUACCUAGAGUGUAGAUAAGGAAAAUAUGUUUAACAGGUCUGUCAAAGGCAAGUAAUCUCCUGCUAAGUUUCAAAAUAGGGAGCAGACCCCUUGCUUUCUGAAUUCUAGUUUCUUACUCUUUUAAUUCCAACAAAAAUUGCAAUAGAAAAUGAAGAACAACUCAAAAGAAGCUCUCUUUUUGAACAAACAAGGAAGUAUUUGUGCAAGAAGAAACAUUUUAACCAGAAUGUGAGGAAAGCUUAUGAUUCUGGAGUAAACUUUACCACAGCAUCCAGGGACCUGGAUGAUUUUGUCCCAAAUUCUGCUCUUCCCUGCAGCUAUGAUAGCCCAUUGCCAAGCAUUCCAAGCUACUCUUACUUCUACAAAAUAGCUCUCUCGGUUUUUAUAUCAACAAAACUAUUGCUUCCUUGGAUAUAGAAGUGUUCCUGCCUUCAGGGCCAACUUUUCAUGUAUUCUGCAAGAUGCUCCAGUGAUUUUCUUAUACUUCACAAAGACUUUAGGAACAUAUCCUUCCUGAGUCCAUGCAUCCUAUCUACCCAGGUCAUCACAAUCAUGUUUAUAUCAAUCUCUCUCUCUAGCUUCUUGUCUAUCAGAAAAGCGGGGAUUUGCCUGGCAUAUGACAAGUGCUUAAUCUCACACAAUGGGACCAAUACAGUGCUUAUCAGCACUGAUCAGCCCUUAACUUCAUGGAGCAGCUUCCAGUAUAGCUGCACAAGAUGUGUCUUUUCUCUGUGUAAACAUGUCAGCAUACUGGAUUUUUUUCUCAAUCUGAAUGUCUCUCUGGCCAUAUUGAAGAAUGUGCUUACUGUACUGUUUCAUUAAACUGCUGUGUUAUCAGGUAAUUGUUUAAACAUAAUGCCAAAGCACUAUCAAAAGGAAAGGUGAACUAAUGGCAUUUGCAAAUGUCAGGGAUUAUCUUAACACUUUUAUUAUAGUUUAUAAAAAGUAGGUUCAGGGCAUUUCUUGGCAAUUAUUUCUACAGAAAUUGGUUAUUUAAAUAAAUUGCUAAUUAUCUGAAGAUGACAGUAUUGAAAAUGCUACUAAUGAGUUGUUUAAUAAGUAUAGCUUGUGGUGGCCACCUACAGGUCGAAAAUGGAAAGAACACAUAGGUUAUAUGUGGUAAAAUGCUUUAUGUUUUUCCUUCUAGUAAUAAAUUAAAAGAUAUUUAACUCCUCAUUUUAUGUUUUGGACAGUGUAGUGAGUUUCUAAGUUCAUCAUAGAUUAUGUUUUUGUUGUAAAUCAAAUUUCAUUUUGCUUCUGUAAUUGUCUUUG
ensembl:lincRNA